rnacentral:RNase_P_RNA from 1 species
UUUCGGGGCCGCGCGUUCGCUCCGUUGUUCUUUAUAGGAAUCUCCGGGGAGGAAAGUCCGGACGCCGUAGGGCAGGGUUCCUCGCGAAAGCGAGGGAGGGCCGCUUCAAGGCGGUUCGACGGCCAGUGCCACAGAGAAUAUACCGCCUGGCUCGGUUUCGCUUCGGCGUCAUCGAGGCAGGUAAGGGUGAAAAGGUGGGGUAAGGGCCCACCGCGAGUCGAGUAAUUGGCUCGGCAAGGUAAACCCAAUCCGGCGCAAGGUUAAAUAGGGGAUCUGGGCUGCCCGUCCGUUAAAGGUCCCGGGUAAACCGCGCCACUUCAUUGGAAGGGGCUCUCGCUUCGGCGGGAAGCAGAUAAAUGAACGCGAUCUUAGCUUCGGCUAAGAUACAGGAUCCGGCUUACAGGCUCCGAAACUAG